rnacentral:lncRNA from 1 species
GUAUUCCUACUGUGCUCUCUGAGGAUGUGGAUGCUGUUGAUCUGCGGACCACACUUUGAGAAAUACACAGGUGACAGCUGUGGUGGAAAGAACUCCCAUCCAGGAAUCAAAACAUGUCUUCACAUUUUGGCCAUGGAACUUGGGGGUCUUGCUUUGUUGCUCAGGAUGGAGUACAGUGGUGCAAUCUUGUCUCACUGCAGCAUCGACCUCUGGGGCUUAAGCCAUCCUUGCACUUCAGCCUCCCAAGUAGCUGGUACUACAGCUUUGCCCCCUCCAGGGGAUGCAACAACAAGGCGCCAUCUUGGAAGUAGACACCAGGCCCUCACCAGACACCAAACCUGCUGGUGCCUCGAUCUUCAAUUUCCAGCCUCCAGAGUGUGUGAAUCCUGUUUGACAAAGAAUAUCGCGCAGUCAGCAUUUCAGAGUGGCACGAAAGAGCCUGUGUUGUCAAACCACUUUGCCAGAGCUGCCUUCUCCCCACCCUGUUUGUUUGCCUGCCAAAGACUGAAAGAGAUGUUCAAAGAUAAAGCUGAGUUUCUUCAGUACGUAUUGUGUUCUCUGGCAUUGGCAGCAUCUAAUCUUGACGUGGAAGACACUUGGGUGUUUUACAGCUGUUGCAGAGUAAGAAGUGUCAACUUCAUUGGACAUGAAGGAGAAAUCUCAAACAGAGCGGGAAGCAAUUAUGUAUUCAAGGUCAGGCAGAGCAAGAAACAUGCAUCAGAGCCCCCACCUGAGGCAGAUUCACUCUUCUUUGCUGUUGAAUAGCCAGAAUUCAUCUUUGAAAAAUUUACUGUGAAAAUAAAAACAACUGUCAAAUGAAGAAAAUAAAACACAGAGUACUCAA